rnacentral:rRNA from 1 species
UACGUAGGGCGCAAGCGUUAUCCGGAAUUAUUGGGCGUAAAGAGCUCGUAGGCGGUUUGUCGCGUCUGCCGUGAAAGUCCGGGGCUCAACUCCGGAUCUGCGGUGGGUACGGGCAGACUAGAGUGAUGUAGGGGAGACUGGAAUUCCUGGUGUAGCGGUGAAAUGCGCAGAUAUCAGGAGGAACACCGAUGGCGAAGGCAGGUCUCUGGGCAUUAACUGACGCUGAGGAGCGAAAGCGUGAGGAGCGAACAGG